GACGAACGCUGGCGGCGUGCCUAACACAUGCAAGUCGAGCGGGGUUGAAGCGAGGGGUAACUCGAGUUUCUACCUAGCGGCGGACGGGUGAGUAACGCGUGGGCAACCUGCCUCAAGGACUGGGAUAACAGCUCGAAAGGGCUGCUAAUACCGGAUAAGCCUAUGGCCUCGCAUGGGGCCAUGAGCAAAGGGGAAACCCGCCUUGAGAUGGGCCCGCGUCCCAUCAGCUAGUUGGUGAGGUGAAGGCUCACCAAGGCGACGACGGGUAGCCGGCCUGAGAGGGUGACCGGCCACACUGGGGACUGAGACACGGCCCAGACUCCUACGGGGGGCAGCAGUGGGGAAUCUUGCACAAUGGGCGAAAGCCUGAUGCAGCGACGCCGCGUGAGCGAAGAAGGCCUUCGGUUGUAAAGCUCUGUCUGGAGGGACGAAGGAAGUGACGGUACCUCCGGAGGAAGCCACGGCUAACUACGUGCCAGCAGCCGCGGUAAAUCACGUGUA
rnacentral:rRNA from 1 species